CCUCGGCCGCCUCCGGGGGCCCAGCAGGUUUCGGAUUUCCGAAGGGUGGCUCAGGCCUGGGAAACAGACCGGCGGCCGGCCGCCCACAAAGGUCCUGACUCUGAAUGGCUGAAAAACCAAUCUCCACUGAAGGAAGAGAAGAUAGAAUAAAAGAGUAUCAGCGUCCACCUGGUACCAUAAGGAUAAUGUUUGUUUUGGUUCUCCAGGGGACCUCAGAGGGAGACCGCAGAGCGACAGCCUCAAAGGGAGGACAGAAUGGAGAUGCCGAGAGGGCCCAGCGUCUGGAAUCCGUCUACUGCUUCCCCUGACCCACCCCCUGCCCACAUCAAGAACUUUGAAAAUGGGCUGGGGCUCCCUGCAGGCCUGUCACUGUGGUCUGUUCUCCUUAG